GGAGGAAGGAAGCAAGGAGGGAAGUGAAAGUGUCCCCAAGGUCUCUCUUUGUUUUUUUUGGUACCGGAGAUUAAACUCGGGACCUUGCACUUUCGAGGGGACAGCAGAGCCACUGCGCUAAAUCCCCAGGCCCCCAAGGUCUCAUCUGAUUGGUGGGGGCGGGAAGCGUGACCCCGGCUACCGGGACACAGCCUCUUCCACCCUCAAACUUCCUGAGCACUGGGGUGACAGGACCACCUUCGGUGACAGUAUUUGGACUCGGUCGCUGCUUCUGGACACAAAGGCGAGGACCCUCAAGGAGGCAUCGGCAGGAGGAGCUGAGAGCACAGUGGGCUUCCGGGUGGGGAACAGAUGACAACCUCUGAUUUUCAGAGCGAGGACAUCUGUCACACAGGACAUGGGGAGCCCUUCCCCAAGCCUGGGAACUCCGAAGCUGUGAGGGAAAAGAGGGAUCUGUUAGACUACAUAAACAUCCAAGUGCUUUGUGUGAAAAAGAUGCCAGAAAUAAAGCCAAUUCAAAUGAUGGAGCAGGAAAAAUAUUUGCAAUGUAAAUAAGACGCGUGACUUCUACUGACCAUUGCUCUGUGCCAUUUGCUUGAAGUGAGUUUGCUAUUUAUCCCUAACAGUGUCCCGAAGGAGUCAGGACCAGGAUGACAAACACGACUGAAUAGAGGGGUAAACCGAGGCACAAUGAGGCUAAAUAACCUGUGAGGUCACAUGGCCAGAGUCAAGCAGUGACCACUGGUUGCCCGGGGCCAACUCUUUAAUCACAACUCAGCGGAGAGCUGGAGAGCCUGAGCCAAAUGUUCGAAAUAAAGAGCUUUCACCAACAGACGACAAUGACAAGCACCAGAUAGGCCUGGUGCUAUAAAUAGGUGAGCUAUGAGGGGCAGAAGCAGAGCGAGCACAGGAAGAGAAACUGAAAUUGGAUGUGGUUAGAACAAUGCAAACGAAGGAGGCAGGGCCUCCCUGCAUGGCCAUCAGCGGGACCCAGAGCCAGGCAGGGGUGGUGGCCGGAAUGUGGGUGACAGGUCCCGCUCUGGGUCACACAGGCCACUUGGGAAAGCAACCCUGAGACAUUUGUUAAGACUG
ensembl:lncRNA